rnacentral:lncRNA from 1 species
GAAGUAUGAUCAGCUCGCCAAGGAGAAGGCCGAUAUGGAAGUAGCUUAUGAGAGAGAAGUGAAGAGGCUUCGUGCAACUUAUCUUCCGAUCUCGAAGGCUUUGGACGAUUGUUUCUAGGGCUCCAUAAGAUGUUCAUUCUCCUUUUCUCUUGUAUUGUAUUUGGUUAUCAAAACUGUAUUACUUCUUUGGUGUAAAAAGUUUCC